AAUUACCGUUGUUGUUCGCGUUAAUCCGUCGAGAUAGAACGUUUCAGACUUUAGCGUGGAAUGAAACGAUUCGAUUGGGGCAUUAUCAGCGG
rnacentral:antisense_RNA from 1 species